AGCAGCCGCGGUAAUUCCAGCUCCAAUAGCGUAUAUUAAAGUUGUUGCAGUUAAAAAGCUCGUAGUUGAAUUUCGGGAUCAGUUGAUCGGUCGUGCCUCGGUACGUACUGGUCAAAUUGAUUCCUACCUUCUGACGGACCACGAUGUCAUUAAUUUGGUGUCGUGGGAAAUCAGGACUGUUACUUUGAAAAAAUUAGAGUGUUUAAAGUAGGCUCGCGCUUGAAUACAUUAGCAUGGAAUAAUGAAAUAGGACGUUUGAUUCUAUUUUGUUGGUUUCUAGGAUCGACGUAAUGAUUAAUAGGGAUAGUUGGGGGCAUUAGUAUUCAAUUGUCAGAGGUGAAAUUCUUGGAUUUAUUGAAGACUAACUACUGCGAAAGCAUUUGCCAAGGAUGUUUUCAUUAAUCAAGAACGAAAGUUAGGGGAUCGAAGACGAUCAGAUACCGUCGUAGUCUUAACCAUAAACUAUGCCGACUAGGGAUCGGAUGAUGUUAAUUUU
rnacentral:rRNA from 1 species